GUGGGGUGCAGUGGCAGGCCUGUAGUUCCAGCUACUUGGGAGAUGGGGACAGGGGACAGGAGGAUAGCUUGCAUGUAGGGGUUCUGGGAUGUAGUGCAGUAUGGUCACUUGGUGUCCACACUGAGUUCGGCAUCAGUAUGGUGACCUCCCAGUAGUAGGGGACCACCUGGUUGCCUAAGGAGGAGUGAACUGGCCCAGGUCAGAAACAGAGCAGGUCAAAACUCCCAUGCUGAUCAGUAGUGGGAUUGCACCUGUGAAUAGCCACUGCACUCAUAGUCAACCUAGUCAGAACCUGUCUCCC
ensembl:misc_RNA Metazoa_SRP Metazoan signal recognition particle RNA